UUCACAAUCUUCUCAAGUGCCAUUCACAGCCAAUCUUCCUGUAGAGAAAGAAACGCAGUUGUUUGUUGUGGGGUAAAAAUGGCACUGAACAGAGGUUGUAAUAUCAUGCUGGUGGUUCUGAUCAUUGCAGUUGUUCUUCCAAAUAUUUGUUCUGCUGAUUCACAUAGCCCUGCUCCUGCCCCUGCCAACCAUGGAGUGGUGAUUAGCCAGGGUAUUGAAGGAUAUAUCAUUAUGAUGAUGGCCCUGCUAUUUGGGUAUCUUUUCAAUGGUGUGUUUUGAACAGGCUAUGGCUAUGCUUACUCUAUGAAUAAAUCUGUAUAUUGAGAUAUUGAUUACUGUACUUUCUUUCUGUUCUCACACAUUUUAUGUGAAGCAGUUGGCAUCAAUUAAGAUUUACUCUGAUAAAUGUGGUAUCACUGUCAUUUCUCA